rnacentral:rRNA from 1 species
GAUGAACGCUGGCGGCGUGCCUAAUACACGCAAGUCGAGCGAACGGACGAGAAGCUUGCUUCUCUGAUGUUAGCGGCGGACGGGUGAGUAACACGUGGAUAACCUACCUAUAAGACUGGGAUAACUUCGGGAAACCGGAGCUAAUACCGGAUAAUAUUUUGAACCGCAUGGUUCAAAAGUGAAAGACGGUCUUGCUGUCACUUAUAGAUGGAUCCGCGCUGCAUUAGCUAGUUGGUAAGGUAACGGCUUACCAAGGCAACGAUGCAUAGCCGACCUGAGAGGGGGAACGGGCACCCCGGGACCGGGACCCCGGCCAGACUCCCACGGGAGGGAGCAGGAGGGAAUCUUCCCAAAUGGGGGGAAGCCUGAAGGAGCAACCGCGCGUGGGUGAAGGAAGUCUUCGGGUCGUAAAACCCUUUUAUUUGGGAAAAACAAAUGUGUAAGGAAACAUGCACCUCUUGACGGUACCUAAAUAAAAAGCCCCGGCUAACUACGGG